rnacentral:rRNA from 1 species
AGAGUUUGAUCCUGGCUCAGAUUGAACGCUGGCGGCAUGCCUAACACAUGCAAGUCGCACGCGAAAGGGGGCAACCCCGAGUAGAGUGGCGGACGGGUGCGUAAUACGCAGGAAUCUACCCACGAGUGGGGGACAACCCGGGGAAACCCGGGCUAAUACCGCAUGAGACCUACGGGUGAAAGCGGGGGAUCGCAAGACCUCGCGCUGGUGGAUGAGCCUGCGUCCGAUUAGCUAGUUGGUAGGGUAAAAGCCUACCAAGGCAACGAUCGGUAGCUGGUCUGAGAGGACGACCAGCCACACUGGGACUGAGACACGGCCCAGACUCCUACGGGAGGCAGCAGUGGGGAAUAUUGGACAAUGGGGGCAACCCUGAUCCAGCAAUGCCGCGUGUGUGAAGAAGGCCUUCGGGUUGUAAAGCACUUUCGAUGGGGACAAACGUGUCGGGCUUAAUACGUCCGGCCUUGAUGGUACCCAGAGAAGAAGCACCGGCUAACUCUGUGCCAGCAGCCGCGGUAAUACAGAGGGUGCAAGCGUUAAUCGGAAUUACUGGGCGUAAAGCGUGCGUAGGUGGUUGGAUAAGUCAGGUGUGAAAUCCCCGAGCUCAACUUGGGAAUUGCGCUUGAUACUGUCCGGCUAGAGUGUGGUAGAGGGUAGUGGAAUUCCGCAUGUAGCGGUGAAAUGCGUAGAUAUGCGGAGGAACAUCAGUGGCGAAGGCGGCUACCUGGACCAACACUGACACUGAGGCACGAAAGCGUGGGUAGCAAACAGGAUUAGAUACCCUGGUAGUCG